rnacentral:rRNA from 1 species
UACGGAGGGGGCUAGCGUUGUUCGGAAUUACUGGGCGUAAAGCGCACGUAGGCGGCUUUGUAAGUUAGAGGUGAAAGCCCGGAGCUCAACUCCGGAACUGCCUUUAAGACUGCAUCGCUUGAAUCAUGGAGAGGAGAGUGGAAUUCCUGGUGUAGCGGUGAAAUGCGCAGAUAUCAGGAAGAACACCUAUGGCGAAGGCAGCUCUCUGGGACGGUACUGACGCUGAGACGCGAAAGCGUGGGGAGCGAACAGG